AAGUGUAACAUCAGCGGUCGUGGAGAGUCUCCAUCCAGCUGGAUCUCUGUCACAGGUGAGGAGGUUACCUUUGAUUUCAGGACUUAUUUCAUCCAGAGAUUCACCUGACCAGGUGGAUUCUCUCUACAGGUAAACCUACAACCACAGCCCCGCCCCCAACAUCAACUACUCUCUUUGACCUGACACCCUCUGAAGCCCUUCCUCCUCCAUCGCCCCCUGCCUCAGACCCCCUCCAGCUUGUGUUAAGACUGAUCUACCACCUGGUGGUGUUCUGUCCAUACUUCAUCUCCACUCUCCUCAUGGUGUCUUUAUAUCGCCUCAGGGCCACAGGAAAUGACCUGCCCAUCUCCAUGGUGAUGACCCCGCCCAGUCAGGCUAAGGAGGGAUUGGACGACGACUGUGAUGAUGUCAUCACUGCUGUCACCACAGAGCAUCACUUCUGAGUUGAUCCAGUGUGUUCAGUGUGUUCUGGUUCUUAAUUAAGCUAAAAUGUUUGACUCAUCAGCAAAUAAACCUCAGAUUUCCUUCAUAGAUCACAAACAGCAGAGGACCCAGAACACUUCCCUGUGGAACUCCUCGUGUUCUAGUCUGACUUGUAGAUGAUGUUGAACUCAGCUUUCACUUGGUCCAAAUGAACAUCUAGUAGAGAUGCCACAACCAGUUGCAAGCUGGACAAUGUGGCAAAUGCAUCCAUGGUGGUCCUGGACAUUAGGCUAGCUUGCUCCUAGUUUGCUAAUCAUUGAAAUAUUUUUGUCUUUCAUUUGUAUUGUCAGUUAAAGCCAAUGAUGUUCUCAGGAAGGCCUCUUAUGUAAUUGGAAAUGGGAAAUCCAAAACAAUAUGCCCACAAUUGCAACAUAACCUUAGGAAGUGUCACGGGUUUGGGUUGGUUGGGUGUGUUUUGUUUUGUUUGUUUCUGUGCUCAUUCCCUGCCUUUGUGUUUGUUCUUGUCUGUAGUGUGUGUAUGUGUUACUUUGGUCAUUUGUUUAAUAGUCAGGUUUACUUGUUAUGAGUUCAUCAGUGCUUCUAUUCUUGUUCUACUGUCCCUAUGCUCUUUAUUUCUGUAUUGUAAGCAAGUCACUUACGUUGUCUGUGUUAUGUUUCAUUUUGUGACAUUGUUCCUUAUGUGUUUCAGUUAGCUUUACUUCCUGUUUCAGUUUGUAGUUAGUCUGCCCUAGUGUCUCUUGUUUUGUUUUGCUUCCUGUGGUUGUCCUUAAUUGUCUUAGUGGUCUCACCUGUGUGUAAUUAGUUUCUCCCUCACCUGAGCCUCCAGUGUAGCCUCCUGAGUAGUCUCUUGUUUCCUGGUUGCGGACUACUCUCACAUCUGGAUAUAUGGACAUUCUUGUUUCACCUGCGCUGUAAGUUUUCACCAUUGCUGCAAUAAACCUCACUACCUUACCAACUCA